UAAUACGUAGGGUGCAGGCGUUAAUCGGAAUUACUGGGCGUAAAGCGUGCGCAGGCGGUUUGCUAAGACAGGUGUGAAAUCCCCGGGCUUAACCUGGGAAUUGCGCUUGUAACUGGCAAGCUAGAGUGUGGCAGAGGGGGGUGGAAUUCCACGUGUAGCAGUGAAAUGCGUAGAUAUGUGGAGGAACACCGAUGGCGAAGGCAGCCCCCUGGGUUAACACUGACGCUCAGGCACGAAAGCGUGGGGAGCAAACAGGAUUAGAUACCCUGGUAGUCCACGCCCUAAACUAUGUCAACUAGUUGUCGGGGAAGAAAUUCCUUGGUAACGAAGCUAACGCGUGAAGUUGACCGCCUGGGGAGUACGGCCGCAAGGUUAAAACUCAAAGGAAUUGACGGGGACCCGCACAAGCGGUGGAUUAUGUGGAUUAAUUCGAUGCAACGCGAAAAACCUUACCUACCCUUGACAUGCUAGGAAGUCCGCAGAGAUGUGGAUGUGCCCGAAAGGGAACCUAGACACAGGUGCUGC
rnacentral:rRNA from 1 species